rnacentral:lncRNA from 1 species
AUGAAUGAUAGAAGAUGAGCAUUUUAAGAUCUAUGCAGAUGAAUGAAUGAUAGGAGAUAGAGUGCUUAGAGAUAUGUGUAAGUAGAUGGAUAAUGGGGGAUAAAAGAUAGAGCUUUUUGACAUCUAUGCAAAUGGAUGGAUAAUAUAGGCCAAGGGCUUUAAGAUCUAUGCAGGCAGAUGCAUGAUAGAGAUGAAGAGCUUAAGAAUCUAUGAAAGUGGAUGAUGCAGGU